rnacentral:tRNA from 1 species
GUCGUUGUAGUAUAGUGGUGAGUAUUCUUGCUUGUCAGCCUGGUGAUUCAGGUUCAAUCCCUGGUAACCAUG